GAUGAAGAACGCAGCGAAAUGCGAUAAGUAAUGUGAAUUGCAGAAUUCAGUGAAUCAUCGAAUCUUUGAACGCACAUUGCGCCCCUUGGUAUUCCGAGGGGCAUGCCUGUUCGAGCGUCAUUUCAACCCUCAAGCUCUGCUUGGUAUUGGGCUACGCCAUCGCGGCAGGCCUUAAAAUUAGUGGCGGUGCCGUCUCGGCUCUAAGCGUAGUAACAAUCUCUCGCUCUGGAGACCUGGCGGUGCUUGCCAGACAACCACCAAUUUUUUUAUGGUUGACCUCGGAUCAGGUAGGGAUACCCGCUGAACUUAAGCAUAUCAAUAAGCGGAGGA
rnacentral:misc_RNA from 1 species